CUCCAUGCACUCGCGCCCAAUCCCAUCCUCUCCCGUCCCGCUCCACACCAGCUGCCACACAACCCUAGCCCCUUACCCAUCAAUCCCCACAGCCCCUCCCUCCUCCUCGCUCCUGGCCAUGGCCUCCACCCUAGGAGCCUCGCCACGGCCUCCUACUCCCCCUCCACCACCGUACAUGCACACAGACGGCGGUGCCGGAGAAGAGCAGCUCCAGUCAUGGUGGGGUGCGGCUGUGAUAGAGAGGAACGAGGUCCGCCGCCCGUCUUUGUCUCCUUGCUGCCCUUUGUUGCCGAUCCUCCUCUCUCCCUUCACCCCUAGCAGCAUAGCAGUCAGGGACAAGGGGAAGGAGCAGGUCGACCCGACUCUAUCUCUCUGCACGAGGACUAGAGGAGCAAGUGGCGAGGGAAGCCGUCACGGCCAGCGACGGCGCUGCACAGGGACGUCCGCCUCUGGUUUUCUGUCCUGUCUCCCGAUCCCCUUUCGUUUAGGUGUGUUCUUUUUCCUCUUUGCCUGAUUUGCUCACAUGUUUGGGGUUUCGUGCUGUAGGGAUAAGCUCUAGUGCGGGAGGUGUGGUAUAAUGCAUAGGUGUAUAAUCUUGGCUAUGAUCUAUGAUGGUGAUUUGGCUAUCAACUACUAAAUCCAUGAAUCAUUCGAAAAUGUUGAACUUGUUGUCCUGCUGUCUAGACAUGUUUUGAUUAUGCUUUUAAGCACUAUGCUUUGCUGAUUCAGUGCCAUUUAUGUGGUGAAGGAGAAUUUUUAUGUUAAAGCAUUUGGUUCUGAUGGAUCAUAUUAUUGGUUCUCUGUUCAACUGAAGAUGUCUUCACAUAGGACUAAGGUGAGUUGAGUUCUGGCUUGGUUGGAGAUGUUGAUGAGGCCCGCUGGAUUCAUCCUUUUCGAGGUUCUGAACAAGGGCAAGCUCGACAAGGUCGAGGGGUAUAUGGACCACAAAUGAUGUGAUAUACUUGGUUGUUUCAACAUGAGUACGGCUCAGUAGGAAGGUCAACCGUGGGGAGGCGCAACAUAGCGCGGCCUCAGCCAAUUAGGCUUGUUGCAAGCCUCAGCUAGAUCAAAUAGUGGGCCUUCUAUAUAUAUCUUCCUGUCGACCAGAAGAAACAAUACAUCAAUCCUUUGCCUCCUUCUUUCUUGCUCAGAUCCCAUGAUACAACCUCGGCGGCUGGCCAGCGAAUAACAGUGCACCACCGAUGGUGAAAAUACCUCACAGGAUGAUGUUGGACAUUCUUAUACAAACUUCAGGCCUACUGGUGGCUGAAUCGAAGUAAAAUGUGAUAGUGGCAUGAUGAGACCAUGUCAGAAUUCUUGUUGCUAUGGAAGCAAAAGGAUUCAUGAAACCCACGGUGAAAACAGAGAAAAGAUACUACAAUUACAGUAGCAUGGAGAAACCGAGGACACGAAAUGAGUCUGAAGAAUGCUAUGGCUGAUUCGUUCUAGCUAGGUACAUGCAAGCUUCUCUUACAUAUAUGCAACGUAACAACGUGAAUGACUAGAACUAUUGUGAUGUUGCUCUAUUGUAAUUCACGUUGUAAUUCAAGAGUCUAGAACUAUUGUGAUGUUGCUCUAUUGUAAUUCACGUUGUAAUUCAAGAGUUGUGUAUCAGUGACCGCAUACACAAGACAAUCUUGAAUAUUUUGUUGGGUCUAUGUUUCUA